UACGAAGGGGGCUAGCGUUGUUCGGAAUUACUGGGCGUAAAGGGCGCGUAGGCGGUGUGUCAAGUCAGGCGUGAAAGCCCCGGGCUCAACCUGGGAACCGCGCUUGAGACUGGCACGCUCGAGUUCGGGAGAGGAUGGUGGAAUUCCCAGUGUAGAGGUGAAAUUCGUAGAUAUGCGGAGGAACACCGAUGGCGAAGGCAAUCCCCUGGGCCUGCACUGACGCUCAUGCACGAAAGCGUGGGGAGCAAACAGG
rnacentral:rRNA from 1 species